GAUGAACGCUGGCGGCGUGCCUAAUACAUGCAAGUCGAGCGAACAGACGAGGAGCUUGCUCCUCUGACGUUAGCGGCGGACGGGUGAGUAACACGUGGAUAACCUACCUAUAAGACUGGGAUAACUUCGGGAAACCGGAGCUAAUACCGGAUAAUAUAUUGAACCGCAUGGUUCAAUAGUGAAAGACGGCUUUGCUGUCACUUAUAGAUGGAUCCGCGCCGCAUUAGCUAGUUGUUAAGGUAACGGCUUACCAAGGCAACGAUGCGUAGCCGACCUGAGAGGGUGAUCGGCCACUCUGGAACUGAGACACGGUCCAGACUCCUACGAGAGGCAGCAGUAGGGAAUCUUCCGCAAUGGGCGAAAGCCUGACGGAGCAACGCCGCGUGAGUGAUGAAGGUCUUCGGAUCGUAAAACUCUGUUAUUAGGGAAGAACAAAUGUGUAAGUAACUAUGCACGUCUUGACGGUACCUAAUCAGAAAGCCACGGCUAACUACGUG
rnacentral:rRNA from 1 species